UACGUAGGGUGCAAGCGUUGUCCGGAAUUAUUGAGCGUAAAGAGCUCGUAGGCGGUUUGUCGCGUCUGCUGUGAAAACCCGAGGCUCAACCUCGGGCCUGCAGUGGGUACGGGCAGACUAGAGUGCGGUAGGGGAGAUUGGAAUUCCUGGUGUAGCGGUGGAAUGCGCAGAUAUCAGGAGGAACACCAAUGGCGAAGGCAGAUCUCUGGGCCGUAACUGACGCUGAGGAGCGAAAGCAUGGGGAGCGAACAGG
rnacentral:rRNA from 1 species